rnacentral:rRNA from 1 species
CGAAUGCUGACAUAAGUAACGAUAAAGCGGGUGAAAAGCCCGCUCGCCGGAAGACCAAGGGUUCCUGUCCAACGUUAAUCGGGGCAGGGUGAGUCGACCCCUAAGGCGAGGCCGAAAGGCGUAGUCGAUGGGAAACAGGUUAAUAUUCCUGUACUUGGUGUUACUGCGAAGGGGGGACGGAGAAGGCUAUGUUGGCCGGGCGACGGUUGUCCCGGUUUAAGCGUGUAGGCUGGUUUUCCAG